rnacentral:rRNA from 4 species
CAGGUUUACCUGUGUGACUGCGUACCUUUUGUAUAAUGGGUCAGCGACUUAUAUUCUGUAGCAAGGUUAACCGAAUAGGGGAGCCGGAGGGAAACCGAGUCUUAACCGGGCGUUAAGUUGCAGGGUAUAGACCCGAAACCCGGUGAUCUAGCCAUGGGCAGGUUGAAGGUUGGGUAACACUAACUGGAGGACCGAACCGACUAAUGUUGAAAAAUUAGCGGAUGACCUGUGGCUGGGGGUGAAAGGCCAAUCAAACCGGGAGAUAGCUGGUUCUCCCCGAAAGCUAUUUAGGUAGCGCCUCGUGAAUUCAUCUCCGGGGGUAGAGCACUGUUUCGGCUAGGGGGCCAUCCCGGCUUACCAACCCGAUGCAAACUGCGAAUACCGGAGAAUGUUAUCACGGGAGACACACGGCGGGUGCUAACGUCCGUCGUGAAGAGGGAAACAACCCAGACCGCCAGCUAAGGUCCCAAAGUCAUGGUUAAGUGGGAAACGAUGUGGGAAGGCCCAGACAGCCAGGAUGUUGGCUUAGAAGCAGCCAUCAUUUAAAGAAAGCGUAAUAGCUCACUGGUCGAGUCGGCCUGCGCGGAAGAUGUAACGGGGCUAAACCAU